rnacentral:rRNA from 1 species
UGAGGAAUAUUGGUCAAUGGGCGAGAGCCUGAACCAGCCAAGUAGCGUGCAGGAUGACGGCCCUAUGGGUUGUAAACUGCUUUUAUAUGGGAAUAAAGUGAGGGACGUGUCCCUUAUUGCAUGUACCAUACGAAUAAGGACCGGCUAAUUCCGUGCCAGCAGCCGCGGUAAUACGGAAGGUCCAGGCGUUAUCCGGAUUUAUUGGGUUUAAAGGGAGCGUAGGCUGUUUGUUAAGCGUGUUGUGAAAUGUAAGAGCUCAACUUUUAGAUUGCAGCGCGAACUGGCAGACUUGAGUGCGCACAACGUAGGCGGAAUUCAUGGUGUAGCGAUGAAAUGCUUAGAUAUCAUGACGAACUCCGAUUGCGAAGGCAGCUUACGGGAGCGCAACUGACGCUAAAGCUCGAAGGUGCGGGUAUCGAACAGG